GACAACGCUGGCGGCGUGCCUAACACAUGCAAGUCGAGCGGAGAUGUACUGAAGAUUUAUCGGAUGUACAUCUUAGCGGCGGACGGGUGAGUAACGCGUGGGCAACCUGCCUUUCACUGGGGGAUAACACGGGGAAACCUGUGCUAAUACCGCAUGACAUCACGUAGGGCAUCCUAUGUGAUCAAAGGAGAGAUCCGGUGGAAGAUGGGCCCGCGUCCAAUUAGCUGGUUGGUGAGGUAAAGGCUCACCAAGGCGACGAUUGGUAGCCGAACUGAGAGGUUGAUCGGCCACAUUGGGACUGAGACACGGCCCAGACUCCUACGGGAGGCAGCAGUGGGGAAUAUUGCGCAAUGGGGGGAACCCUGACGCAGCAACGCCGCGUGAAGGAAGAAGGUCUUCGGAUUGUAAACUUCUUUGAUGAGGGACGAAUAAAGUGACGGUACCUCAAAAACAAGCCACGGCUAACUACGUG
rnacentral:rRNA from 1 species